rnacentral:rRNA from 1 species
GAGCACGUAGGUGGGUUUGUAAGUCAGAUGUGAAAGCCUUCUGUUCAACGGGAGAAUUGCAUCUGAAACUACAGACCUUGAGUAUAGGAGGGGAGAGUGGAACUUCUGGUGGAGCGGUGAAAUGCGUAGAUAUCAGAAGGAACGCCGGCGGCGAAAGCGAUUCUCUGGCCUAUUACUGACACUCAGUGUGCGAAAGCUAGGGGAGCAAACGGGAUUAGAUACCCCGGUAGUCCUAGCCGUAAACGAUGGGCACUAAGUAGAGGGGUU